UACGAAGGGGGGCUAGCGUUGCUCGGAAUCACUGGGCGUAAAGCGCACGUAGGCGGAUCCUUAAGUCGGGGGUGAAAUCCUGGAGCUCAACUCCAGAACUGCCUUCGAUACUGAGGAUCUCGAGUCCGGGAGAGGUGAGUGGAACUGCGAGUGUAGAGGUGAAAUUCGUAGAUAUUCGCAAGAACACCAGUGGCGAAGGCGGCUCACUGGCCCGGUACUGACGCUGAGGUGCGAAAGCGUGGGGAGCAAACAGG
rnacentral:rRNA from 1 species